rnacentral:lncRNA from 1 species
AAUAAUAAUGAAAAACAGAUUAAGGACAGAAUAUAUCGGUAAUUUAUAAUUUAUAGCUUGUUCUCAUACAAGUGGCAUUAUUAGUAAUGCUCAGAUAGUACAUUCAUGUGGUACAAUUUAUUUAUAAGAUCACUUUGCAUGAUAAAACAUUCAGCCCUGCAUGAAAAAAUAAUGAAGAUAAAUCAGUAACUCAAAUGAAGAAACUUAAUUAGAAAGAUAAGUGUUAAUGUAAUAUUUCAAGUCUAGAAUAAUCGUAUUUCCUGACCGCAUUAGUUGUUAUGAUGUGACAAUAAAUUAACCGUUAAUCAUAAUAUAUAACUAACGUAGCAAGUACACAUCAAUGUCACAUGAUGAGCUAAAGUGAUCAGAAAUGUGAUACCUUUAGCGAUUUGAAGUGUAUGAAUUACUUUGUGCAGUCGGUGUCUUUGUCAAUUGCAGGGAGGUCG